rnacentral:rRNA from 1 species
UACGAAGGGGGCUAGCGUUGCUCGGAAUCACUGGGCGUAAAGCGCACGUAGGCGGACUCUUAAGUCGGGGGUGAAAUCCUGGAGCUCAACUCCAGAACUGCCUUCGAUACUGGAGAGCUUGAGUCCGGGAGAGGUGAGUGGAACUGCGAGUGUAGAGGUGAGAUUCGUAGAUAUUCGCAAGAACACCAGUGGCGAAGGCGGCUCACUGGCCCGGUACUGACGCUGAGGUGCGAAAGCGUGGGGAGCAAACAGG